GACACUGUAGUCUAGUGGUUUAGGAUACUCCCCUUCCAUGAGGGAGUGACACGGGUUCGAAUCCCGUCAGUGUCA
rnacentral:tRNA from 1 species